rnacentral:rRNA from 1 species
GAACGCGAAGAACCUUACCAGGUCUUGACAUCCCGAUGCUAUUUCUAGAGAUAGAAAGUUACUUCGGUACAUCGGUGACAGGUGGUGCAUGGUUGUCGUCAGCUCGUGUCGUGAGAUGUUGGGUUAAGUCCCGCAACGAGCGCAACCCCUAUUGUUAGUUGCCAUCAUUCAGUUGGGCACUCUAGCGGGACUGCCGGUAAUAAACCGGAGGAAGGUGGGGAUGACGUCAAAUCAUCAUGCCCCUUAUGACCUGGGCUACACACGUGCUACAAUGGUUGGUACAACGAGUUGCGAGUCGGUGACGGCGAGCUAAUCUCUUAAAGCCAAUCUCAGUUCGGAUUGUAGGCUGCAACUCGCCUACAUGAAGUCGGAAUCGCUAGUAAUCGCGGAUCAGCACGCCGCGGUGAAUACGUUCCCGGGUCUUGUACACACC